UCAACUAGUUCCUGCAUAAACGUGAAAGAGAAUAAGAAAUCUGGAGACCUCUGGGAUGCUCUGAAGCUUGGUAGGAAGUGGGUAGGAAUGACCAAGCGGAGGAUACUUUUACUUACGCCCGCUUCUUUAGGUGGUGCCUCGUAGUCAGCCCUUCGUCUAUCACAGCCCCGACCACCUGGCGCUUCCGUCGCCGAUCCCUGCUUAACACCCUGCGGCGCUUGAACAACUUCUUCUUCAGCUCCUGCGGAAGAAAAAGAUGAGCAUCCACGUAAGGUUGUGCACGUCCACCCGGGAUCCUCCGCACCUAACAACCCCAGACCCCAACUGAUCCUGUUUCCGGAGAGGAAAAUGCAAGGAAGCCAAGGGAAACAGAGGCCCGGUUCCCACUCCCACAGUCCAGUCACCGUUCGGGGACGAUUGAUCUUUCCUCCGGGAGGAGCCAUUGCUACACUCGGUGGCUCACUCCGAGAGCCGCACUUCCGCCACACUCACAGGUUCCGCCACGGGCAAACGACCCGCCCCCUGACGCCUCGGGACCAAUCGCAGCUUGGAGGCGGGUACCAGCCCUAUAUAAGGUCGUUCCGCGCCCUUCGAGGCCUUUCCAAGGGUUGGCUUUCACGUCUACAUUGACGCCUUCCGGAGUGAUAGUUAAGGCUUUGUUUGCUGUUCGUUGUUGAACCAAUAAAGUCUGAAUCCUAAGGA